CGGUCUCCAUGGAAAUCGUGUCAAAAGUGGAGGGAUGCGUGAAUGGAACAGAUCUCCACCGCCCGCAGCAGCCAUCACGAUCGUUUCUGAGAUUGACGAAGAGCCUCAAAUCUCUCUUUUUCUUCUGCUCGAGCUCGUCGGAAACCGCGUGUAUGUGUUGGAGAUAAGGGCGGAGGAUUCUUCGUCUGUCGGCUUUCCUGAGCUUCAAAACGAGGGUUCUGGCGGUGGCGGAGUCGUCCUGGUUGGCCCAAGAAAGUGGAGCUCCGAGGAAAUUGUCUUGGAUGAGCUGGUUUGGAUCGAGGCCGAGGACGAUG
rnacentral:lncRNA from 1 species